AUUGAACGCUGGCGGCAUGCUUUACACAUGCAAGUCGAACGGUAACAGGUUAAGCUGACGAGUGGCGAACGGGUGAGUAAUGCAUCGGAACGUGCCCGGUCGUGGGGGAUAACGCAGCGAAAGCUGCGCUAAUACCGCAUACGAUCUGAGGAUGAAAGCGGGGGACCGUAAGGCCUCGCGCGAUCGGAGCGGCCGAUGUCAGAUUAGGUAGUUGGUGGGGUAGAGGCUCACCAAGCCAACGAUCUGUAGCUGGUCUGAGAGGACGACCAGCCACACUGGGACUGAGACACGGCCCAGACUCCUACGGGAGGCAGCAGUGGGGAAUUUUGGACGAUGGGCGAAAGCCUGAUCCAGCAAUGCCGCGUGCAGGAAGAAGGCCUUCGGGUUGUAAACUGCUUUUGUACGGAGCGAAAAGGUCUCCUCUAAUACAGGGGGCUCAUGACGGUACCGUAAGAAUAAGCACCGGCUAACUACGUGCCAGCAGCCGCCGUAA
rnacentral:rRNA from 1 species